UGCACCACACUGGCAGCAUCUGGAGCUGCCAUCGCUCUGCUUUCCUGGUCCCCUGUGCUUUCCUUCCCAGUGUGAACAGGGCGUUGCUCCAGCUCUGAGGAAUUCCAUGAUGGACAGCGUGAGUCCAGGCAGUUCUGCUGGAGCAGUUGUCAGCUCCCAGAGCAGACCAGAAGCUUUUCUUCCCACAGCUGCUACUGGAAUUUACCACUUCUUCAAGCAGAGCUGUGCAGGUAAACGCCGCGGAGAGGAUCUGGAAUCUGUUUGCUUUCCUGUACAACUGUUGCAGUAAAGAGGUAAGGAGCCAGGCACCCACCAGCCAGUCCAUCUCCCUUUCCCUUCUCAUGGAUUCUCAUGGGGACCAUGAGCACGGCUCUGCCCUGAAGGGUCUUUGUUCCUCCUUUCCCCUGACUGAAUGUGUCAUAUCUUCCUUCCUUCUUUCCAUAGCCAUUUGGAAAAUACCUCCAGCCUUCUCAGAGGACAGCCAUCAUCCUCAAGACUCUUGACAUAAUGAGUAGCUACAGCACCGAAGAUGAUGAGCAUUUUGGGGCCGAAUUCAUGGUGGACAUAGCAGUUGAAGACCCUGCCACCUGGCUGAUGGAUGUGCCAAAGAUUCUGAGGUUCAUCCAUGAAAGCCUGAGUAACUGCAGAGAUUCAGACCACCAGAAACUCUUCUCAGUACUUUCCACAAUGGCCAACCAGUUUCCUAGGGAAGUGCUCCUAAGCAUCUUGACAGACCUCCCGACACUUGACAGCACUACGCUGGACAUCUGGAAGGCGAUGGUUUCCCUUCCAGUGACUUCAGAGAAGAUCUUGCAGGAGCUAUGGAAUGUUCUCCAGGACAACGAAGUGUGCAGCUUCUUUGCAGUCAGCGCCGCGGACUUAAGCAUCUUUCACUUUGCUGUGAGUAACCAGACAACACACCUUGUUCCCCUUUGGGGCUAUGUGUGCUCCUCCAGGAAAACAGGCACAGUCCUCUCCCCAUCCCAUCUUCUCCAACCUGUCACCUCUUCCAGGACACAAGGACACAGCCCCUUAGGGCCAGCACCAGCCCCCCCUCCACCAGCCAUGCGGGGUCCGUGUGCUCAGACAUGAAGCCUGCCCCUUUCCUGGCAGUGCUGUCUUUCCCCCGGCUCCUGGCAAUGACUGGGGCAGAGUCAGGACAAUGUCUGGGGCUGGGGCAGAGCCAUGGCCUCUGCACGGGCUGAGCAAGCUGUGAGGCCAGGGACUAGUAGCACCUGUAGCCACCUGCUUCCAGUGCCUGCUUUGUGCCAGAUGGUGCUGGUCAGUCGCUCCUCAGAGGUGUGAGACCAAGAGGCUGCGGAUGGCCAGAGGGAAGGAGGAGCAGGCAAAGAAAGGAUGCUCUGUGUUGCCAGGCGCAGGGCACACAGGAGCCACACACUCCUCCG
rnacentral:lncRNA from 1 species